AAAUAACUAAAUUGACGCUAAUAUUACCAAUAGAAUUAGCAACGAAAUUUCAUUGGUAAUUUUAUGAUUACAAGAGAUUUAACAAUAGAAAAUUUUCGUUGCUAGAACAUUAUUUUUCUUGUAAAAAAUAUAUAUUUUAAUUUUAUUAUAAUUUUAUAAUUGUUCAAUCAUAAUCUAACAAUAAAUUAUUUUUAUCUGCAGAUCCUUGACAUGAUGCCAUGUGUUAUUUUAUAAAUAUUUCCUUUCUUUUAAAAAAUUUAUUCAUAUGUCUUAUGGGUUUUUCUGUUCAUCAGUUAUACAAAUAAACACUAUUUAAUGAAUUUGCAAGGCAAUUUUUUUUUAAAAAAUUUACGUCUCCUUUUUUUGUUUUAAAAACGUUUUAUUCUUUUUAAAUUGGAUGAAAACAUUGAACCAGAGCAAAAACUAUUAGUUUAAACAUUUAAUGAAUCAUUAAACCCCAUGUUACAUAGAUCAUUCAUACCAGAGAAAAAACGUUCAUCUGAUUUUAAAGUUCUAUCCUUUCGCAUUCCUAUUUCAAUUUUUUUUUUUUUGCAAAAAAUUUUGUGGUUUUCUAAACAAAAUAAUAAUGAUGAAUAUUUUUCCCUAAAAUAAGGAAGGAUUAAUUCUGAAAAGUCCCUUGAGAUCUCCAAAAAGCUUAAUCUUCUAUCCUUAAUCUAAUAUCGUUCAAACAUUAUCGCAGGAGAAAAAACCUUCUUUCUCCCAUUUAACUAGCUAAAAUAUUUUUCCUGUUCUGAAGUUUCGUUUGGUCAAGAAGAAAUUGAUUCGCAAUUGAAUCGAGGGAAAGCAAUC
rnacentral:lncRNA from 1 species